rnacentral:rRNA from 1 species
GAUGAACGCUGGCGGCGUGCUUAACACAUGCAAGUCGAACGGAAAGGCCCAAGCUUGCUUGGGUACUCGAGUGGCGAACGGGUGAGUAACACGUGGGUGAUCUGCCCUGCACUUCGGGAUAAGCCUGGGAAACUGGGUCUAAUACCGGAUAGGACGAUGGUUUGGAUGCCAUUGUGGAAAGUUUUUUCGGUGUGGGAUGAGCUCGCGGCCUAUCAGCUUGUUGGUGGGGUAAUGGCCUACCAAGGCGUCGACGGGUAGCCGGCCUGAGAGGGUGUACGGCCACAUUGGGACUGAGAUACGGCACAGACGCCGACGGGAGGCAGCAGGGGGGAAUAUUGCACAAGGGGCGCAAGCCGGAUGCAGCGACGCCGCGUGGGGGAGGACGGCCUUCGGGUUGUAAACUCCUUUCGCUAGGGACGAAGCGUUUUGUGACGGUACCUGGAGAAGAAGCACCGGCUAACUACGUG